AGCCGGUGGCACAAACUCUCCAGCCAAGCCAAAGGCCUAUGCCAAGGUUUCUUCUGUCCAGCUUGAGGCUUGGACAGAGGUCUCUUCUGUCUAGCUUCAGGCCUGCGCCAAGGUCUCUUCUGUGUAGCUUCAGGUCUGCGCCAAGGUCCCUUCUGUCCAGUUUGAGGCCUGCACCGAGGUCUCUUCUAUACGGCUUGAGGCCUACACAGAGGUCUCUUCUAUACGGCUUGAGGCCUACACAGAGGUCUCUUCUGUCCAGCUUGAGGCCUGCACCGUGGUCUCUUUUGUCCAGCUUUAGGUUUACACCGAGGUCUCUUCUGUCCAGCCUGAGGCAUGCACCGAGAUUUGUCCUGUCCAGCCUGAGGUUUGUGCCGAGGUCUCUUCUAUACGGCUUGAGGCCUACACAGAGGUCUCUUCUGUCCAGCUUGAGGCCUGCACCGAGGUCUCUUCUGUCCAGCCUGAGGCAUGCACCGAGAUCUGUCCUGUCCAGCCUGAGGUUUGUGCCGAGGUGUCUUCUGUUCAGCUUUAGGUUUGUGCCGUGGUCUCUUCUGUUCAAUCCAGUCUACCAGUCGACUCUGGAGAGACGAGCUCUGACCCUUAAGAAGAUUCGUGUUCUCCACCUCAUGACUCCGACAAAGACGUUGUUGCUCUGCUCCUGACUCUGACAAGGACGUCAUCCCACCUCCUGAUGACUUGAUGGAUGACAUCGUUAUAGUUCUGCCCCAUGUGGACGUACUAUAUGACCUGACCAGCUGGCAUGCUGAUUUACCAAGCCCCCUAACUCCUGCCAUGAGUAACCAGCCUGCUGGUAUCCCAAGCUCCAUGUCUCCUGUUGUGACCAGCUGGCUUGCUGAUUUCCCAAGUCAUCCCUCUGUCUCCUCCUGACUCCGCAGUGGACAUCAUUGUCCCCACACCUCCUUCCACCAGCAAGGAGAUCUUUGCUCCAUGGUCCUCUACCUCCACGCACUAUCUGGACAUUGUCUGCCUCAUCAUGGUUUGUUUCAAUAGCCAUGUGCGCUAUGUUUUCACUUCCUGGUCCUCUCUCCACCCUUAUUGU
ensembl:lncRNA